GUUGCAGUUGCUGUUGGUGAUAUUUCCGAAUAUGCCGUUGUUAUUCCACAUGUUGGAUAAUGGCAGUGCAGAAAGAACUCGUUUGUAUUAUUUCGCCGGUACUUCGGUUAGGUGUGCUCCAUAGGAGUUGCUGAUUUAAUAAGGCUAAAGGAUUCCAGAAGGGCAGCCUUAUAAAGGUAGGAUUUUUCUCUUCUAUUGCAUGUUGUAUUAUAUAUUGUGUGUGGGGGGGGGGGGGACAAGUGAAUAGUGCGUACAACGAGUAAAAGGAAGAUCUUGAACAGCUGACCUUCGCAUAUAGUACUAA